GACGAACGCUGGCGGCGUGCUUAACACAUGCAAGUCGAGCGGUAAGGCCCUUUCGGGGGUACACGAGCGGCGAACGGGUGAGUAACACGUGGGUGACCUGCCCUCAGCUCUGGGAUAACGCCCGGGAAACUGGGUCUAAUACCGGAUAUGACUUCAUGACGCAUGUUGUGGAGUGGAAAGCCUUGUGCGGCUGAGGAUGGGCCCGCGGCCUAUCAGCUUGUUGGUGGGGUGANGGCCUACCAAGGCGACGACGGGUAGCCGGCCUGAGAGGGCGACCGGCCACACUGGGACUGAGACACGGCCCAGACUCCUACGGGAGGCAGCAGUGAGGAAUAUUGGACAAUGGGCGCAAGCCUGAUCCAGCCAUGCCGCGUGAGUGAAG
rnacentral:rRNA from 1 species